AAUAUUCCAUUUUCUUCACGUGCUCAAAUUUGCUAAGCUAGUUCCUGAUUGUGGGAUACAUGGUUGGGCUCACAUAUUUUCCCACCGAUAGACAAGAGAUUACCAGAAAAGGGGUGAGGAAUCCAGAGAGAAUGUCUGCAUAAGAAGGAGGGUGGAGAUUUCUUACUGAACUAAAGGCUUCAAGAAUUGGCAAAUACCUGCUCAACUUUUGUAUUUCUGAUGACUGGAUGACUCCACCUGGACCCGAGACUCAUGACUCACCCAGUCCUGUGGCCCCACCCAGAAGUGGACUCAGAGCAAGAGGACCAUUUUCCACACCCCAAUGAGUGCAUCCCCAACCAAUCAGCAGCACCUGUUCCCUAGCCCCCUGACCACCAAACUCUCCUUGAGAAACCGUAGCCUCCAAAUUUUCUGGGAGGCUGAUUUGAGUAAUAAUAAAACUUUGGUCUCC
rnacentral:lncRNA from 1 species